GAAAGGAAUCAUGAAAUAAAAAGGAAUUCAAGUUUAUUUUGAUAAUCAACCAGUGAUGUACAUGAUUGGAUUUGGAUUGAAUUGGAUAAUGUACAGGAUCCUCAUUUGGAAUAAAGAAAACCAAAAGUGACUACUCCAUACCGCCUAAAGGUACAUGGGAAAUUUGAACGAUUGGAAUACGGCGAUAUCACAAGUGGGAACUAUGAUUGAAUUCUAAGGUGUCAACGGCCACGGUACAACCUCUUCAUUAGAAGGCAAGUCUCGUCUUUGAUAGGAGGUAGCCGACCCCAUAUCAUUUCUGUAUUCAAAAGGAUAUCGAGAACCCACCACCAUACUAGAAGCUUCUUAUUCCCAUAUCAAUUCCAUCAGAGGAAUUAGAAUAAAGGAAAUAAACCAACUACCAUACUGGAAGCUUCUUAUACUCAUACCAAUUCCAUUUGAGGAAUUGGAAUAAAGGAAAGGAACCAACCUCCAUUCUGGAAGCUUCUCUUUCCCAUAUCAUACCCAUACAAAUUCCACAAAAGAGAGUGGAAUAAAAAAAAAGGCACCCACCGUCGUUCCUCCAGUAUCUGACAACGUAGUUUUCGACCAGCCCUUCGUCUGACGAGGACGGUUGCCAAGACAAUCGGAUCGAUUUUGUUUGCACCUCUGAAGUACGAAUGCCAGUAGGAGGGGAAGGAGGCUCU